GACAUAGGUGGCGAACGUUAUCCGGAAUUACUGGGCGUAAAGAGUGCGUAGGUGGUUUUAAUAAGUUACUGGUGGGAAAUCGGGGCCCAACCCCGUGGAAGUUGGUAAUACUAUUAAACUAGAGGAGCGGAGAGGUUAACGGAAUUCUAUGUAGUAGCGGUAAAAUGCUCAAAUAAUAUAGAGGAACAACCAAACGGCGAAGGCAGUUAACGUAUUCGAUUCCUGACGUUGAGGCACGAAAGCGUGGGGAGCAAGACGG
rnacentral:rRNA from 1 species